UUCAAAAAUAUCCGGCACAGCACCCAGUUUUCCACGGCCACCAUAUGGCUCUGCAUAGGUUUUAACAACAAAAUCAUUUAAUUUAACUGACCAAAACAUGACGUAAUUAAAACAACAAUGUGGUUGGGAUGAAAUGGUUGAAUUAUGAACCU